rnacentral:lncRNA from 12 species
ACCCAUUCUAUGAGCUCAGAAAAAUGAUGUCAUCUCUUGUAUCCAUUUUAUUAUCUCCCAAUUUCUAUUCUCAUUCUUUCAUAUCCAGAGGUACAUGUCAUCUGAAGCCUUGGGCCCUCCGCAUCAUAAAUCAGGAACAAAUCCAGGAGGGAGAAAGAGCAAAGGAGACAAGGACCUCGUUAAGAACACUAAGUUUCUGUGGAGAAAAAAGUGUUGGCUUGAACUCCUCGUGCUUUCUUAUGUAAUAAAAAAGUCAAGCAAAGGGCAUGUCUUGGUUCGGCUGGGACUCGGCAGACUGCCUGCGUUAUUACAGUGCUGGGAGUCUGAGGCUCUCUGCUCCUUGAGGAUUAUCAUGUGACUCCUCCCCAAGUGAACAAAAAUGGAGUCCUUUUCUACAUUAUUUUUUGUAACUGGCUCUUUUUCCUUUUUACUGCCUCUUGGAACACUUGGAACACUUUGUAUGUGAGUACCUGUAGCUCUACCUCAUUCUUUUUGAUGGUUUGUUUCCAGUUGAUAGCUAUUAGGAACUAUGCUGCAAUCAUCAUCCAUGUGCAUUUUUGUCUUUGUGUACUUCUGUGAGGUUUUUUUUAGAUUAUAUUCACAGAAAUGAAGUUUCUGGACCAACUUUAACAUUGCAAAACUGCCACCACUAAACAUUAUAUCGAUUAACACACUCCAUGAAUAUGUAUCAAAGUGACUGUCUCCUCACAUCUUCUGGUUUUAUCAUCAUUCUUUUUGAUUUUGCC